GAACACAGAACAUCCUUGGGAACACUACUCAACACAUUGAAGGUGAACUGGUCUAGAGGAAUCAGGUGGAGGGGUCCAAACUGGCUCAGAUGAUAGUGACCCUCACAACUGUGCUGCCAGAGUGGAAGAAGUCCACAGCAGAUAUGCCUUUGGGGUCGUGCAUGAUUUUGGUACUCUGUGGCGCCAGCAGGGGUUCUUUACAGCAUCUGGUAAGACAACCUGUCACUCUAGGUUAGUUGCUAAUCUACUGGACUCUAUCCUACUAACAGACUCUAUAUCUGUGUGCAAAUGUCAGGCUCAUACUAACGCCUCUGAUUCCAUUUCUAAAGGUUACACUGUAGCUGACAUGGCUGCUAAAGCUGCUGCCACGUCUCCUGUCUCCCCCAUUUUGCAGAUGGUUUCUCUGCCUCCAACUGAUGUUUUCUCUCGUAAUGACGUUUCUGACUUAGAAUCAGUCGCUUACACUGUGGAGGUCUCUCAUCUGAAGCGGUUGAAAUGCUCAUUUGACCAGAAGCUGAAGCGUUGGGUUUGUCCUAAUGACCUCCCUGUCCUUCUUUGGUCCUGUUACCUCAUGUUGCAAAGUUGGCACAUGGCCAAGAC